GAAUUUUGCCCAAUGGACGAAAGUCUGAGGCAGCAACUCCGCGUGAGGGACGAAGGCUCUCGGGUCGUAAACCUCUUUUCUCAGGGAAGAUCCAAGACGGUACCUGAGGAAUAAGCCACGGCUAACUACGUGCCAGCAGCCGCGGUAAUACGUAGGUGGCAAGCGUUGUCCGGAUUUACUGGGCGUAAAGAGCGCGCAGGCGGCUGUUCAAGUCCGAUGUGAAAUCUCCCGGCUCAACUGGGACACUGCAUCGGAAACUGAGCGGCUUGAAGGUGGGAGAGGGUAGUGGAAUUCCCGGUGUAGUGGUGAAAUGCGUAGAUAUCGGGAGGAACACCAGUGGCGAAGGCGACUACCUGGCCCACUCUUGACGCUGAGGCGCGAAAGCUAGGGGAGCGAACGGG
rnacentral:rRNA from 1 species